UAAUUAAAUAAUUACCGAAGACAGUAGGUGGGUUUUAACCCUUAAUUUCUACCGAGGAAAUAAAUGAAGGAUAUUAAUCUUCUUUUACCCCUUGGUAGAAGAAGAUUUUUUCAUUA
rnacentral:sRNA from 1 species